rnacentral:lncRNA from 1 species
GCACCUCCGCACCUUCAACGGGCUCCAAGCAGCACCUCCGCACCUCGCACUCACACCGGAUCCACCCUUCAACAGCCGCUGUUUCCAGGAACCACCACCACCACUGUUUGCACUCACACGAGAUCCACCCUCGCACCAGAUUCUGCCAAACACCUUCAGAGUCUCAUUGAUGCAUGCUGUGAGAGUUACUAAGAUCAAAUCAUGGAAAAGAGGUCUUGUUUGAGUUCACAGUUGGGCUGGCAUGUGUUGCUGUUGCCUCUUGGAUAUAUGCUUCUAGGUAGUUGAAGAAGGAGGUGAUAUCGGACUUCUCUAUCAGGGUAAAAUUCAAGACGAGUUAGCUAGAGCGUCGAGAGAUGUGGAUGAUACGUCACCAGUUGAUGAACUCGAGGUACUCAAAAGUGCCUUGGGUCAUAGGAAUGGGCAUGUACGCGGUGUUGGUCGUGUUGUAAAAAAUGUCACCCACGAAAUAUCGAGCUC